UACGAAGGGUGCAAGCGUUACUCGGAAUUACUGGGCGUAAAGCGCACGUAGGCGGCUUUGUAAGUUAGAGGUGAAAGCCCGGGGCUCAACCCUGGAAUUGCCUUUAAGACUGCAUCGCUUGAAUCCGGGAGAGGUGAGUGGAAUUCCGAGUGUAGAGGUGAAAUUCGUAGAUAUUCGGAAGAACACCAGUGGCGAAGGCGGCUCACUGGACCGGUAUUGACGCUGAGGUGCGAAAGCGUGGGGAGCAAACAGG
rnacentral:rRNA from 1 species